rnacentral:rRNA from 1 species
CGAAAGCCUGACGGAGCAAUACCGCGUGCGGGAGGACGCUUUUUGGAGUGUAAACCGCUUUUCUCAAGGAAGAUGAUGACGGUACUUGAGGAAUCAGCAUCGGCUAACUUCGUGCCAGCAGCCGCGGUAAUACGAGGGAUGCAAGCGUUAUCCGGAAUUAUUGGGCGUAAAGCGUUCGUAGGUGGCAAAUUAAGUCUGUUGUUAAAGCAUGGAGCUUAACUCCAUAUCGGCAAUGGAAACUGGUUAGCUAGAGUAUGGUAGGGGUAACAGGAAUUCCCAGUGUAGCGGUGAAAUGCGUAGAUAUUGGGAAGAACACCAGCGGCGAAAGCGUGUUACUGGGCCAUUACUGACACUGAGGGACGAAAGCUAGGGGAGCG